UCCUGGACAUCCUCAAAACUCGUAAGGAGGGACUGCUUCUUCAUCAAAUACCUGGCCACCACAGUAGAGCAGGUAUUGCAGUUUCAGUGACCCAGCUGGUGCAUGGAGGGCUGAACGAGGUUGAAGACAUGGGAGUUGGUGCCUCAGCAGCCCCAAUCUGUCAUCAAAAGAUUGGGAAGUUUCCUGGAGAACCAUGGGUCCUUAGUCAAUUAUUGAGGCCUGGAAAACACUGUUCCUGAUAUUAGUGAAGGAAUCAUCAUCACCAUAAUAAUCAUCACCAUCACCACAGUCAUCGUCAUCAUCACCAUCAUCACCAUUAUCACCAUUAUCACCAGCAGCAGCAGCAAGAUGAAUCAACUCAGCAUCAAGAGGGAAGAUCAACCAAGCAAAAGUUUCCCAGAAGUCAUCGCUGCAUCGUUGCUCUCAUUCAUGGGCUCCA